UCGUGAACUUUUAAAACUUUUGCAGAUCAAUCGAAUGGUUCAAAGGCCUUACCAUACGUUACAUAUCAAAACUUAAUAUUCAAAAGAUGAAAUAUCGUCCGGCAAACACCAUUGAUAAAUGAUGAUUUAAUCUAAAGGUUUUUGAAAAAAUUACAUCUAGACGUACUUUUUCAUUGUCAACUUACAUAUAGACAUACUUUGAACAUGUGACAUACUUUCUUUUGACAAAAUACCUAAAGAACCUUUUCAAUUUUAACUGGUUGGUUGGAAACGUGGGUUAAGGUUGGUUACUCAAUCAAUCGCCUUUCACAUCUCUAUUUUGUUUUCUCUUUGCAUUUCUUCUCUCCCACAUAUCUCCUUCGUCAAACACCAGAUCUCUUUUUCAAAUUACAAAAUCUAUCAUUUUUUUUUUCUCUUUCCUUUAUCAUUUUUCAUUUUCAUUUUUCAUUUUUCAUUUUUCAUUUUUCAUCUUUUUUGUUCAAUUCUUUGCACGAUUACCGUCAUCACCGCAGCUUCUUUCAUCGCCAUUGCCACAACUCUUCUUGCGGCCACCGCCGCACUUGCAGAACCACCACUGCAAUUCUUUCCCCGCCGUUUUUGAGAAAGCCCUGAACACACGAACACUUUGACCACAUAAACAAUAAUCAUGACUACAUGAACACUGACCGUAACUCUGACCAUAUGAAUGCUAACCCCGAUUCUGAUCAUAUGAACACUGACCCUAACCAUCCUUUCUCUCCACGAAAACCAGGACUAUGUGGUUUCCAACCGUAACCACCAGCUCAACGAAGCCCCUAACCACGAAAGAGCAACCAACCUUUCACUAUAACCCUGACCGCAAAUGUCUGUUCUUAUUAACCACAUCAAUUCUAAAUAGGCAAAAUCUGCGCCUGACCACACAUUUCUGACCACAAAACCCAACACUCAGAUCAAAGUCGUUCACU
rnacentral:lncRNA from 1 species